rnacentral:rRNA from 1 species
CCACGGAGGCAGCAGUGAGGAAUAUUGGUCAAUGGGCGCGAGCCUGAACCAGCCAAGUCGCGUGAGGGAAGACGGUCCUAUGGAUUGUAAACCUCUUUUGUCAGGGAACAAAGGCGGGGACGUGUCCCCGGAUGAGUGUACCUGAAGAAAAAGCAUCGGCUAACUCCGUGCCAGCAGCCGCGGUAAUACGGAGGAUGCGAGCGUUAUCCGGAUUUAUUGGGUUUAAAGGGUGCGCAGGCGGUCUGUUAAGUCAGCGGUCAAAGCCCGGGGCUCAACCCCGGCCCGCCGUUGAAACUGGCAGUCUC